CUGAGUGCUCGGGCGGGGGCACCACCGGCCGCUAAACGCGCACAAUGAGACAGCGCUGAGCGCCGGAAGUGGGGCCGAAGGAAAACACGGAGAGGGAGCCCAGCCGGGACAGGAAGAGGCGGGGGACCGCGGCGGAGGCGAUUGUUUCGGAAGUUUUCUAACUAUAUUCUUGGGAUGAGGUGUUCGCCUAUUUUGAAGAGAAGCGCUUUGUUAUAUAGGUGCAAGGAAGAAAACUGAAGUCAAGAACCAUGGGAGAUGGAGCAAAACCUUAUUUUGUGAAGCGUAAAGACCGAGGGACUGUUGAUGAUGAGGAUUUCAGAAGGGGUCACCCCCAACAAGAUUAUCUAAUAAUGGAUGAUUGUGCUAAAGGCUAUGGCAAUAAAAUGGAAAAAGGCCUUCCAAAAAAAAAAAUACCAGGGAACUAUGGGAAUACCCCCAGGAAAGGACCAUAUGCUGUUUCCAACAAUCCGUAUGCAUUUAAAAACCCAAUUUACAGUCAACCCGUUUGGAUAAAUGACACCCACAAAGAUCAGAAUAAGAGAUGGCUAUCUGAUGAACUUGCUGGUAAUUCAGACAGUUGGAGAGAAUUCAAACCUGGACCUAGAUUUCCUGUUACAAACCGACCAAGAAAAGACUCCUUUCAAGACAGUGAAGAUGGAUAUAGGUGGCAAGAUGGUCGAGGCUGCAGAACUGUAAGAAGACUGUUCAAUAAAGACCUGACAAGCCUAGAAACCACAUCAGAGAUGGAAGCAGGAAGCCCUGAAAACAAGAAGCAGAGGUCCAGACCUAGGAAGCCACGUAGAAUUAGAAAUGAAAAUGAACAGGAUGGAGACUUGGAGGGCCCUGUGAUCGAUGAAUCUGUGCUCUCAACCAAGGAGCUGAUGGGCUUACAGCAGGCCGAGGAGCGAUUGAAACGAGACUGCAUUGACAGGCUAAAAAGGCGACCAAGAAAUUAUCCCACAGCAAAGUACACCUGCAAACUUUGUGAUGUUUUAAUUGAAUCCAUUGCAUUUGCUCAUAAGCAUAUCAAAGAGAAGAGACACAAAAAAAACAUUAAGGAGAAGCAGGAGGAAGAAUUGCUUACUACGUUACCCCCGCCUACACCCUCCCAGAUAAAUGCAAUUGGUAUUGCCAUUGACAGAGUGGUACAGGAGUUUGGCUUACACAAUGAGAACUUGGAACAGAGGCUAGAAAUUAAACGGAUCAUGGAAAAUGUGUUCCAACACAAGUUGCCAGCUUGUUCUCUGAGGUUAUAUGGGUCAUCCUGUAGCAGCCUGGGCUUCAAAAAUUCAGAUGUAAACAUUGACAUUCAAUUUCCAGCCAUUAUGUCUCAGCCAGAUGUUCUUUUACUUGUUCAAGAAUGUUUAAAGAACAGUGAGUCUUUUAUUGAUGUUGAUGCAGAUUUCCACGCUAGGGUGCCGGUGGUGGUGUGUAGAGAAAAGCAAAGUGGUCUUCUUUGUAAAGUGAGCGCAGGAAAUGAAAAUGCUUGUCUGACAACAGGUCAUUUAACUGCCCUGGGCAAACUCGAAUCAAAGCUAGUUCCUUUGGUGAUUGCAUUUAGGUACUGGGCAAAGCUAUGCAGUAUAGAUCACCCUGAAGAAGGAGGUUUGCCACCUUACGUGUUUGCCCUGAUGGCCAUUUUCUUUCUUCAACAGAGAAAAGAACCCCUUCUGCCUGUUUAUCUAGGAUCAUGGAUUGAAGGAUUCUCAUUAAACAAACUAGGGAACUUCAACCUCAAAGACAUUCAGAAAGACGCUGUGGUCUGGGAGUAUACUGAGAAUGCCGCAGUGGGUGCAAACACGGCAGAGGGAGAGACACCAAAAAAAAUGCCCAUUAGAAGGGGACAGGUAUCAUUAACAUUUGACUUAAAACACCAGCCUGAAGUACCAGUUGGGCAGCUCUGGGUGGAAUUGCUUCGAUUCUAUGCUUUAGAAUUUAAUUUGGCUGAUUUAGUGAUAAGUAUCCGUGUCAAAGAAUUGGUAUCACGUGAAUCAAAGGAUUGGCCCAAGAAGCGCAUUGCCAUUGAAGAUCCCUACUCUGUUAAAAGAAACGUGGCAAGGACUCUAAAUAAUCAACCCGUGUUUGAAUAUAUACUUCAUUGUUUAAGGACAACAUAUAAAUACUUUGCUGUUCCACCCAAGAUGACAAAAUCCAGCCUUCCAAAGCCUCUAAGUACUGCUACGUGUAUGUCUGAACAUUCUAAAGAAGUAGCAAAGCAUGACCUAGAAGUACAAGUGAAAGAUGAUAAACUCAAAAACUCAGUUUUGGCUCAAAGGCCCAGUGCUGCCAGCUCAACUGCAAACACCUGCAGGGUCCAGCCACCCACUCUCAAAGAGACUGCAGAAAGCCUUGGAAGCGCACCACUGGAAGAAACGGGAAAUGCCCACAUCAGUGUCCACCUGGAAAAUUCAGACAAUAUCAAGACAGGGGUCCGUUGUGUUGAUUAUGAGGACAUUAAAGUACACCAUCAAGAAACAGGAAGCAAAAAUGGGAAAGAAAAAAUAGGAAGGGAGGGCAGGCAUCCUUUGGCUGCUCAUGAUCAAGGUCUAAGCAGUAGCAAACAUAGGGAGCUUGUCAUCUUUGACAGCACAGGAAAUAACGAGACAGACAGCACUUUGGAUUUAGAAGGCUUCCAAAAUCCUACAGCUAAAGAGUGUGAUGGAUUUGCUACUUCAGAUGACAAGGCCGAUGUUGAUGCAGAAAGCAUAGAAGUUGCUGAUGAAUUCAAAGAUGCUCUAAGCCUCUCUGCCCCUUCAAGACAGGGCCACACAUCAGGAAUCCUUCACUCUGAUGAAGAGGAGGAGGAGGAGGAGGAAGAGGAGGAGGAAGAACCCAGACUCACCAUUAUCCGGAGGGAAGAUGAAGAUGGCAUCAGUAAUGAGGAUGAGUUAGAUAACAUCUGCACCGGGUCAGGGGACGAAGAUGCCCUGUCUGAAGAGGAGGAUGAAUUAGGCAUGUCUGCUAUAUACGAAGACUUGAAAGAAAGUGGAAAACAUGUGGAUGCAGCUCUACUAAUGCAGCUUAAUAAAAUCAGUCUUAAAGAAGAAAAUGUAUGUGAGGAAACCUCAGCUGUGGAUCAGUCUGUUUUUUCCUAUGAAUUUAGUAAACUCACCUUCACCAAAGGCAAGUCUCCUAUGGUAGUGUGCAGUUUAUGCAAACGAGAGGGCCAUCUAAAGAAGGACUGCCCUGAAGACUUCAAAAGAAUCCAACUGGAACCUUUGCCGCCACUGACACCCAAGUUUUCAAAUAUCUUAGAUCAAGUUUGUAUCCAGUGUUACAAGGAUUUUUCACCAACUGUUUUAGAAGAUCAGGCUCGUGAACAUAUUCGGCAAAACCUGGAAAGUUUUAUAAGACAGGAGUUUCCAGGAACUAAACUGAGCUUAUUUGGCUCCUCCAAAAAUGGAUUUGGGUUCAAACAGAGUGACCUUGACAUCUGUAUGACAAUAAAUGGACUUGAAACUGCUGAGGGGUUGGACUGUGUCAGAACCAUUGAAGAACUGGCUAGAGUCCUCAAAAAACAUUCAGGUCUGAGAAACAUCUUACCUAUAACAACAGCAAAGGUGCCAAUUGUCAAGUUCUUCCACUUGAGAAGUGGUCUGGAAGUGGACAUCAGUUUGUAUAACACAUUGGCUCUUCAUAACACAAGACUCUUAUCUGCUUAUUCAGCCAUUGAUCCCAGAGUGAAAUACUUGUGCUACACCAUGAAAGUAUUUACAAAGAUGUGUGAUAUUGGCGAUGCAUCCAGAGGCAGUUUAUCAUCAUAUGCAUACACGCUCAUGGUGCUCUAUUUCCUCCAGCAAAGGAACCCGCCAGUCAUUCCUGUCCUUCAAGAGAUAUACAAAGGUGAAAAGAAACCUGAAAUAUUUGUUGAUGGCUGGAAUAUUUAUUUUUUUGAUCAAAUAGAUGAACUGCCCACCUAUUGGCCAGAAUAUGGAAAAAAUACAGAAUCCGUUGGGCAGCUAUGGCUGGGACUGCUUCGUUUCUACACAGAGGAAUUUGAUUUCAAAGAGCAUGUUAUUAGCAUCAGAAGAAAAAGUCUGCUUACAACUUUUAAGAAGCAGUGGACCUCCAAAUACAUUGUUAUUGAAGAUCCCUUUGAUUUGAAUCACAAUCUUGGAGCUGGAUUAUCAAGGAAAAUGACAAAUUUUAUAAUGAAGGCUUUUAUUAAUGGAAGAAGAGUAUUUGGUAUUCCAGUCAAAGGAUUUCCAAAGGACUACCCAUCAAAAAUGGAAUACUUUUUUGAUCCGGAAGUACUAACUGAAGGAGAGCUAGCCCCGAAUGAUAGAUGUUGCCGAAUUUGUGGGAAAAUUGGACACUUCAUGAAGGACUGUCCUAUGAGGAGAAAAGUGAGACGACGGCGAGAUCAGGAAGACAACCUGAACCAAAGAUAUCCUGAGAACAAAGAGAAAAGAAACAGAGAGGACAAGGAAAUUCAAAACAAGUCCACAGAAAGGGACGUACCAACAAAAGAAGAGAAAACCAUGCAGUGCACACCUCAGAAAGCCAAGCCAGUGAGGGCAGCUGUUGACCUGGGGAGAGAGAAGAUUCUCAGACCACCAGUGGAAAAAUGGAAGAGACAGGAUGACAAAGACUUGAGAGAAAAGCGUUGUUUUAUUUGUGGAAGAGAAGGGCACAUCAAAAAGGAAUGCCCACAGCUUAAAGGCUCUCCAGGUAUGUCUAAAUCAGAUUGUGUGUUUGGCGCCCCUUCUCCACCUAGCCCUUUGAGACCGGCUGGCACAUUUGUUCAGGCAGUGCUUUUACAUGAAGACAAAAAGAAACAAAAAACAACUGUAUUUUUGAGUCCCCAGUCAGCAUCACCAAGUGGAACGAGUAAGGAGGGAGGUGGUAGGAGGUGAGGUCAGAGCAACUAGUUCUGGAUCCUGGAGAGCCUUGAGCAAUGGUUGGAUGGGUUUUGUUUCUAAAUUGGAGAGAUACCCAUGUGAGUUACAGAGUAUGAAAAGACUAAGUCGUCUCUGCCUUUGGGUGUCAGCUAUUGAGGUGUCACUCUCAGACCUUCAGCAGCCUCCUAAAUCCCACAGUAGGGGGGCUCUUCCCUGCUUGCAUCAGCCCAGUCUGACAUAAGCUAGGACACGCUGCUCUCUCCCUGGGAGAGCUAAGAAGGCUACAGGCAAAGAAUAUCGGGUGUCUCUACUUUGAAUGUUAUUAACAAGAGAAAAAUAAACACAAUUUUCAAGUUAUUUACUCCCAAUUCUGUUGGCACCAAAAUGAAUUAUCUCAAGUAUAUGAAACAUUCUAAAUAGAAAUCGGCAUUUAUUCUUUUGAUAUGUGAAUUUUAUAAUUGGUUAUUUUUUUAAAUGGUAGGGGGAAACAUUUGCAGUGGCAUCAAAUCUCUUUACAAUCAAAAGGCAUGGGGAUUAAGGUUGCUAUGCAGAGUGAGGUCGGAUGAUUCAAAGAGAAAGAAACAGAAGUCUUUAGUUACUACACUUACCAAAGAAGAAUGGUGUACAUAAGGGUACAGACGCAGGAGGUGCUCUGAGAAAACAGAACAGCUGUUUCCUGGGAAGAUUUGUAAUUGUUCUCAGUGGAAUGCAUGGACUUAAAAAUAAGCAAGUUUUCUGGGAAAACCCCCAGAAUCAAAUAGAAGGGAAAUGAGAAUGGGGCCUGUGGCGAGACAAUUUGAUGACAGUGAGAGCAACCUGGACAGGUGGAUAAGGAGAUUGACAGUCCGCCUCUGGAAGCCAUGUCAGCAGAUGAAAGUAUGUGGGAAAUGGGCUCCACUUUCCCAUAUAUGGUUUAUGGGAUGGUUUCCCAUAGAUCCUCUGAGAGUUUGAGGAUCACAUAGUUAAUACAUGUAAAUAAGCCAGAGUACAGUUUUCCGAGCUUCAGCCUGGAACAGAUAUUCCCAGAACAUUUCUCAUAGGAAGUGUACUGACCCUUGUGUAUUUGAGAUGUUUACUUUGCCAAGGAUGAGGUGGUUAAGAACAUCAGCUCUGCAGUUAGAUUACACAGGAUGAUGUUUAGCUUUGUGAUCUUGAAAAACCUACUCAGCCUCCGCUUGCCUCAGUUUCCUCAUCUGUUUCAAGGGGAUAAUAAUAAUAAUAAACACUGAGAUGUCGAGAAAUCCAUGUGAAAGCACUUAGACCAGCACGGGCACAUUAACAAGAGCAAAGCAGAGGUUUAGGGGGUUGGUGAUUGCAUAGAUAUUCCUGCAGAGCAUCCAUCAGCAUUGCUCCAGCUAAAGGGUUUACAUAUCUUGAAAGUAGAAUUUAGUAUGAUUUUAUAAGUUUCUUUUUUUAAGUUGGGAGGAAUACAGAUGAAUAUACCUAUGUUUAGGUGUUAGAAAUGGCAUUACCAAUUAACAGUAAGUUAGGAUCUCUGUACUUAUCUUCUGAGUAAAAGACUUAACAUAUUUAUAAAUCUUUUGAGCAACUAUAAAACUUAAAACCUAAAUUUACUACAGAAAAAAUUACUACAAUAAAUGUCUUCUUUAUACCAGAAAAAAAGAAAAUAUCUGAGUUGCUAAAAUCUUAAUUAACUCUUCAAGUAAGUAUAUGACAACUGUUAAGGCUGUCAAAUAUAAUUAUCCAUUAUAAAUUUCCAAAUUGUCUACAUAAUUAUAAAUGUGAAAUAUGUCUCAGCUGUAAGUAGGAUUAAAUUUCCCUGGGGCUCUUUUUUCCCAUAGUAUUCAAUAUGCCUGUGACACACAGGUAGGGUCCUGACCAGAGCCCAUUGGUACGGACAACUCCUGCUUUCGCACGUUAGCUAUACUAACCUUAGGCAAGAGACAGGCUUCUCUGAGCUCCGGGUGUCUCAUCUGGAAAAGUGGCGAUAACACUAUUGGUCUCAUCAGGAACUGAGAAGAUUAAAGCACCCAGCCUAUAGUCAUCACUCAGCCAAGUUCUCUUACCUUUUCUGAUACCUCUCCUCCACUCCUUCCCACUAGGAUGCACAUAUUAAGUCUUAACUCCCAAACAGGAUAGUGGUGAAUAGAACAUUCCAUGAAUUUCCUUGCUCUUCAUUGUUACUUCCCUUCCCCACAUAACACAUGGCUAACACAAUGCUUUAGAUGUUCAGUAAGUUUCAUUAAUUAGAGAUUUACUCAUUUUGAAGGAAGAAAGUGGGAAAAUGGUCAAGAACAUGAGUUUUGAAGUCAGACAAAUUUGAGUUUGAAGUGCAGCCGAACCACUUGCCUGCUGUGUCAUUUCUGUCAAGUUACCAAACCUCUUUGUACCUCCGUUUCCUUGUCAAUAAAUGGGGCUGACACCUCACAGAGCAAUUGUAAGAAUUAAUUUCAUAAACACAAAGUCAUUAACACAGCAUCUGGCACAUGUUACUACUCAGUAGAUUAUCGCUAAUAUGUUGAUAGAACAUCUCCAACUUUGCUGUAUUUUAUGUCUUCGAAUGUGUAGGACAAAUAUAUGAUGGAAAUUUUUAGGAAACAGUGUGUGGAGAUUGCAGAACUAUAGUCAAACUGAUUUUUUAUGCAUAAGUAAAUUACUCUGGUUUACGUAUAACAACUUUCUCAGUAUGAGAAUCUCAAGAAACUAAUUUUCUAUUCCAUCAUCUCCCCCUUUUUUUGCAAAGAAAAUUACACUUGAAAAAAAAACUACCUCUCUCUCUUCAUUUAUUCUAAUUUAAUCUCAUGAUUUGAAAUUAUAAAAUUGGAGGUAUUAUAAGAGACCAGUGGAUAUCUUUCUCUUCCUCAUUAUGAUGUAUACUAUUAGAACUUUUUUCCUUGAUGAUAAUUUGAAAGCCACCUUAUUUUUUAAAAAAGGGUCUUCAUGAAAGUAAAAGUUUUUAAAAUAAUAGUAGUACUUCUUUAAACAGUAUGGAGAAAUCUUAUUAUCAGUGAAUAUAGAUAAUUUCUUAUACCCUUCUUAAUAAUUCCAGUAUAUGAAUAAACUAUUACUCACUUAAUUAUUUAAUGGGCUAGCUAUUUUUAAAUGUUUGGUAUAUCAAUGUCUUCAAAACUUUUUUGCCUUUCACCCUCUUCCCCAAAAUGUUGAAAGCCCAUAUAUAUAUCCUAUAAUAUUCAAGAUGACAUCUAAGUUUUUAUCAUAGUUCCAAAGCAUGUAAUUUCUUUGUGAAUUUUUUUUGGUAAAUAUAGAUUUUUCAAAAUGAAAACUUUAAAUCACCCUUAUAUUGUAUCAAGUGAAAUAUAAUUGCCUUUUCAUACCUACCAUCAUCCAUUUACAGCUCUUCUUUAGCAGGGAGAGAUUUUACAUCAUUUCCCUUUCUCCUUGGAUUCCUUUGUUUUACUUUCACAAAAUUUUUUCUUAAGAUACAUUUUUAUCAUAUACAUUUCACGCAUUUUAUCAGCCUAUCAAGCUUAUGUGCAACAAAAAUAUACAAAUAGGAUUUUUAAAUUUUUUAUUGUCUCAGUGAAAAUUUUUCUUCUAAAUUCAGUUUUUACAAUUAUUAGAAUAUAUAAUUGAUAAACAUCACAAAUUUUGAUUAAAAAUUACUUUUAUGUUUACUUAUGAAAAAUAACUGCCACUUAAUGAGAUUGAUGGAAUUUUUCACCAUGCAUCAUUUAUCUUUGCAUCAGUACUACUUAUCGCAGAAGUAAAAGUGUUCCUUACCGUUCCUGUUAAUCUUUUUUGUUUUUAUAGUUGGUAAACAUUGACAAACCUCAGUAGUCUUUAUGAUAGCAAAUUAAAAAUAAUGGAAAUAAUUCCAAGAGUUUGGGAAUGGAAAAUGUAUUGCAACAGUGCCACUGAGUUAUUUUCAUUCCUUUUUAAUGAAAUGACCAAAAAAUCACAUAAUUAUGUAUCAGCAGGAAUUAUUUAUGAUGAUCAUCAUCUACCAGUGUAAUUUAACAAAAGCUAAAAAUUUGGGUGUUUAUUAGGGGCAUUCAUGUUUACCACAGAUAUCAGCAUUGUUUGCCUCCUGCCUCCCCAGGUGUUUUCACCCCAGGGCUACCACAUUAGGAUUUGGAUGAUUAGGACAUAUGCCCCUCUUUUAUAAAGUAGGGAAAGAAGAGUUGUGAAAGGCACUUGAGAAGGAAAAGUGGUGUAAUUCCUGGAACCAGCCCACAGCCUUAACCACAGUGGAGAAGGAGAUAGAAGUGGAGAUGCUACAGUUGACUCUUAAACUCACUGCCCACUUGUCCUGUUAAGUUGGCUCAGGAAUACAGUUAUCCAAGUUUGAAGACCACUGUUAUAUAUAUCACACAUUAUAAUGAAUAUUUGCAUCCGUACCUAGUCAUUUCCUCAGGAUAAAUUCCUAGUUAGAAGAAUGAUGGAUUCAAAGGAAUGCACAUUUUGACAUUGAUGGCAGUGAUGUUAAAAUGUGAUUGUUGACAACCCCAAAGUCAUUUGACAACCUGUUUCCCUUUCUCUCACUUAACUGGGAGAGUCUGUUUUGCUAAUCUGCUUAAAUUUCUAUUAUUGCCAUUGAACACUAAUAUUUUUCACAUUUUCCUUUGUAUUUUUCAUGUUCAUGUUUUUGUGUUUUUGUAUUAGUGUAUUCAUCUUUUGUUUUUAGCUCUUCCUACAUAGAAAUACAUUCGUGCUUUGUAACAUGUUACAACAUCCUUCACCAUCACCACUGCAGUUUAUUACUCUUUCAGGCUCAUUUAUGGUUUGUUUUGCUAACAGACAUUUGGUUACUUGUUUGUUUUAGUAGUCUGAUUUGGCUGACUUUUGGGUAGUUUCAAGUCAUACUUACACAAUUUUAGGAAUUCGGUGUUCUUUCCACCCCCACGUCCCUAAGAUAAAGUUCAUUCAUAUUUUAUUUCUAGUAUUUUUGUUUUUUAUGUGGAAAUUUUGUAUAUUAAGUUUCUUCAGGUAAGAUGAGACUUAUUUUUUAUACAGGGGAUUACAUUUAAGUGAUAAAGUAAUAAAACUAUUAGUACUAUUCUGAGAAAAGAAUGGUUUCUUAACAUUUUGGGAAAAAUAUAGAAUGGUACAAAUAUAACAACCCAUGUACUAGAGAAUUGGCACUUUUUUUUCACAUUUUCUUUUCAAUCUUU